GCUAGACACGCCCCCUGGUAGGUAAGAUGAGCACAGCAGGCAAGAUUAAGACCCCCUGGGAUUGUAUCUGGGGAUGCACAGGUAAAACUUUCCCCUGGGCACCUCCAGGGGUGGCUGGGGGAUCAUCGUGCAGAGCCUGGGGGUGCAUCUUUCCCUCCCCACCUUUCGGCUCCUGUGCCAGGGUCUGCCAGGUGUCCCAAGUGGACGUGGAGGCAGCUUGGCAGAGCCAGCUCCACCCGCAGAGGCUCUGAGAGGUCCCCAACCUGGUCCAGGACCCGGCCCCGCUGCAUUCUCCAGCUGCUGGUACCCGGCUCUCCCUUUUUCAGCACUGGUGUCUACUGUCCACCAGCAAGGGCCUGGAGAAGAGAAGGACAGUCCAGCCACUCCAACGUCCAACGCCGUGUUGAACAAGCGGCCUCCAUUCCCUGGAGGUUUCAGAUGUGGACUAAGGAGACCAAACUCUACGAAUGUCCUUCCAGCUACUUUGUUCACAGCUUCCCUACGUACCGUACCGUCCACGGUUCUGAAGAGUCAGAUUCAACUGGUCUUAAUCAAAAGUAGUCAAACAUGCGUUUCUUUAAGAUCUUAAUGAUGUCCAG
rnacentral:lncRNA from 1 species